AUACGGAGGGUGCAAGCGUUAUCCGGAUUUAUUGGGUUUAAAGGGUGCGCAGGCGGACCUGUCAGUCAGUGGUGAAAUCCCGGGGCUCAACCCCGGAACUGCCAUUGAUACUACAGGUCUUGAAUACGGUUGAAGUAGGCGGAAUGUAGCAUGUAGCGGUGAAAUGCAUGGAUAUGCUACAGAACACCGAUCGCGAAGGCAGCUUACUAAGCCGAUAUUGACGCUCAGGCACGAAAGCGUGGGGAGCGAGCAGGAUUAGAAACCCCAGUAGUCC
rnacentral:rRNA from 1 species